rnacentral:rRNA from 1 species
GCAACCUACCCUAAAGACGAGGAUAACCAUUGGAAACAGUGGCUAAGACUGGAUAGGAAGAUAAAAGGCAUCUUGUAUCUUUUAAAAGACCUAGUUAAUAGGUAUGCUUUAGGAGGGGCUUGCGCCAUAUUAGUUAGUUGGUAGGGUAAUGGCCUACCAAGACGAUGAUGUGUAGCUGGACUGAGAGGUUGAACAGCCACAUUGGGACUGAGACACGGCCCAAACUCCUACGGGAGGCAGCAGUAGGGAAUUUUCGGCAAUGGAGGAAACUCUGACCGAGCAACGCCGCGUGAAUGACGAAGUACUUCGGUAUGUAAAGUUCUUUUAUCGAGGAAGAAAAGCAAAUGGCGAACCAUUUGUUUGCCGGUACUUGAUGAAUAAGCCCCGGCUAAUUAUGUGCCAGCAGCCGCGGUAAGACAUAAGGGGCAAGUGUUAUCCGGAAUUAUUGGGCGUAAAGGGUGCGUAGGCGGUCUAGUAAGUCAGUGGUGUAAUGGCAACGCUUAACGUUGUCCGGCUAUUGAAACUGCUAAACUUGAGUUAGAUAGAGGCGAGUGGAAUUCCAUGUGUAGCGGUAAAAUGCGUAAAUAUAUGGAGGAACACCAGAGGCGUAGGCGGCUCGCUGGGUCUUAACUGACGCUGAGGCACGAAAGCGUGGGGAGCAAACAGGAUUAGAUACCCUGGUAGUCCACGCCGUAAACGAUGAGUACUAAGUGUCGGGUUAAACCGGUACUGAAGUUAACACAUUAAGUACUCCGCCUGAGUAGUACGUACGCAAGUAUGAAACUUAAAGGAAUUGACGGGACUCCGCACAAGCGGUGGAUCAUGUUGUUUAAUUCGAAGAUACCCGAAAAACCUUACCAGGUCUUGACAUGUUUUUGCAAAAUGAUAGUAAUAUCGUGGAGGUUACCAGAAACACAGGUGGUGCAUGGUUGUCGUCAGCUCGUGUCGUGAGAUGUUAGGUUAAGUCCUAAAACGAGCGAAACCCUUAUCGUUAGUUGCCAGCACGUUAUGGUGGGGACUUUAACGAGACUGCCAAUGAUAAAUUGGAGGAAGGUGAGGAUCACGUCAAAUCAGCAUGCCCCUUAUGACCUGGGCUACAAACGUGAUACAAUGGCUGUUACAAAGGGUAGCUGAAACGCAAGUUCUUGGCCAAUCCCCAAAAACAGUCCCAGUCCGGAUUGAAGUCUGCAACUCGACUUCAUGAAGUUGGAAUCGCUAGUAAUCGCGAAUCAGCAUGUCGCGGUGAAUACGUUCUCGGGGUUUGUACACACCGCCCGUCAAACCACGAAAGUUGGCAAUACCCCAAAACGGUAGCCUAACUC